GCAGCCACGAUUCUUUGGUUGGUCGGUGGUUAAGAGGUUAUGUUUUGUUGGGUAAAGGUGAAGGUAAGCGUAGGAGGAGCGAAGGGGUCUAGGUUUAGCGCGCGCUCUCUCGUUUCCCUCCUUCUUUCUCUAGAGCGGGUCGCGGUGGGGCUUAGGCGGUACCGGAGCCGGCGCGGCGGGGAGGAGGGGUGGUGGCAGGGCCGGCGGCGCGGGCGCUGGCAGGAGGGGCGGCGGGGCCUGCGGCGGCGGCGGUUGAGGUAGCGGAGGGGCCUGGGCCGGCGGUGCGCGCGGAAGGAGCCGGCGGAGAUGCUGAGGCGGUUCGCGAGGGAGAGCCCGCGGGCGGGGACCGGGCUCGAGGACCUGGCGCGGCGCGAGAGCGCGGGCCUAAGGGAGAGGCUGCGGUGGCGGGCGGAGGCGUUCUUGGAGCGGAUGAAGGCGCAGUUGAUGCGGCGCGAGCAGCGCGAGAGGGAGCGCCAGAGGGAGGAGCGCGUGGGGAAGAGGGAGCGGCGGGAGGAGCGCGAGGAGCGGCGGACCACGAAGGAGAUGGAGGAGGCGGGGCGGCUGCGGCGGGGCGAGUUGCGGAAGCCGGCGUGGAAGAGGCUGUCCCUCUGCGAGCCCCCGGAGUAGCGGCGGAGGCAGAAGCAGCAGAAGGAGUGCAGACAGCCACCCUAGUAGAAGAGGCGCGACCGCGAGCCGCGGCGGCAGCAGACGCGCGUGCCACGGAAGGCGCACGGACUCCUAGACAAGGAGCUGCUCCACGGGCUGGUCCCGGAGCAUCCUUUGCCGCGGUGGUAGUUGGAGGAGAGGAAGUAGUUGCCGCGACGGCCUCCUCCUCCUGCGCAGACUCGGUCGGAGGACAGGAGUCGAGAGACUAGACGAUGAGCCUUGUCUGUUCAUUUCAGUCACCGACCAACUAAGCAAAAAGGUCUUUGCUUCAUGAAGAUGAACAAAUAAUUCUAGUAUGAUGCGCAACGGAAAUUCUUGCACUCCUCCUCUAAUCUUCUCCUACGUAACCUCAAUAUGAUGUGUGUCCUAUAUGUGUUUUCUUCCUUGGAACCCUAGAUCAAAACAAAGUAAAACGUAAACUAUAACGACAUACUACUGUUUCAACUCGAAUAAUCAUAACUAUAAGUAUACUAUACACAGAACCACAAUGAUCGUAUGUCCUGUUUUAUUUAACGACGAGGAGCAGAAUUGUAUUUUUACUUUAUAUACUACUAAUUCAUGUGGUAAAGAAAAGUUCUCUAGCUAGUUACACUAAAGCGUAUACUAGAACUAAGACCGCACCUCCUAGAACCCAGAUCCACUAAGUAA
rnacentral:rRNA from 1 species